rnacentral:rRNA from 1 species
UACGGAGGGAGCUAGCGUUGUUCGGAAUUACUGGGCGUAAAGCGCACGUAGGCGGCUUUCUAAGUCAGGGGUGAAAUCCUGGAGCUCAACUCCAGAACUGCCUUUGAUACUGGAGAGCUUGAGUCCGGGAGAGGUGAGUGGAACUCCGAGUGUAGAGGUGAAAUUCGUAGAUAUUCGGAAGAACACCAGUGGCGAAGGCGGCUCACUGGCCCGGUACUGACGCUGAUGUGCGAAAGCGUGGGGAGCAAACAGG